rnacentral:rRNA from 1 species
GAGUUUGAUCCUGGCUCAGGAUGAACGCUAGCGAUAGGCCUAACACAUGCAAGUCGAGGGGCAGCACGGGAGCAAUCCUGGUGGCGACCGGCGCACGGGUGAGUAACACGUAUGCAACCUACCCAUAACUGUGGGAUAGCCCGUCGAAAGACGGAUUAAUACCGCAUAACACAGGGGCUCCACAUGGGGAUAUUUGUUAAAGAUUUAUUGGUUAUGGAUGGGCAUGCGCAGGAUUAGGUAGUUGGUGAAGGUAACGGCUCACCAAGCCAUCGAUCCUUAGGGGAACUGAGAGGUUAAUCCCCCACACUGGUACUGAGACACGGACCAGACUCCUACGGGAGGCAGCAGUGAGGAAUAUUGGUCAAUGGUCGAGAGACUGAACCAGCCAAAUCGCGUGAAGGAAGACGGUAUUAUGUAUUGUAAACUUCUUUUAUUGGGGAAUAAAGUGCAGGUCGUGACCUGUUUUGUAUGUACCUGAUGAAUAAGCAUCGGCUAACUCCGUGCCAGCAGCCGCGGUAAUACGGAGGAUGCGAGCGUUAUCCGGAUUUAUUGGGUUUAAAGGGUGCGUAGGUGGGUUUUUAAGUCAGCGGUGAAAUCUCGGAGCUCAACUUCGAAACUGCCGUUGAAACUGGGGACCUUGAGAGUGAACGAGGUAGGCGGAAUUUAUAGUGUAGCGGUGAAAUGCAUAGAUAUUAUAAAGAACCCCGAUAGCGCAGGCAGCUUACCAGGUCACAUCUGACACUGAGGCACGAAAGCGUGGGUAUCAAACAGGAUUAGAUACCCUGGUAGUCCACGCAGUAAACGAUGAUUACUCGCUGGUUGCGAUAUACAGCAAGCGGCUUAGCGAAAGCGAUAAGUAAUCCACCUGGGGAGUACGCCGGCAACGGUGAAACUCAAAGGAAUUGACGGGGGCCCGCACAAGCGGAGGAACAUGUGGUUUAAUUCGAUGAUACGCGAGGAACCUUACCCGGGCUCGAACGGCAGUGGAAUAUCUGUGAAAGCAGGUAGCCAGCAAUGGUCGCU